rnacentral:snoRNA from 1 species
UGUUUGCUGUGAUGGUUCUUGCAAGGACAGUAUCUGAGUAAGGAAUCACUUAAAAGAGUGCUCCUUACAUGAUUAUAUCUACCAAUACUGAUCAGAGAUUCUGGGUGUAAAUU